GUCAAGUGUGGUGGUGCAUGCCUGUAGUCCCAGCUACUUGGGAGACUGAAGUGGGAGAGUUGCUGGAGUAAAGGUGUUCAAGGUCAGCGUUAGCCACAUAGCAAGACCCCAGAU
rnacentral:sRNA from 1 species